GUGAACGCUGGCGGUAGGCCUAACACAUGCAAGUCGAACGGCAGCACAGUAAGAGCUUGCUCUUACGGGUGGCGAGUGGCGGACGGGUGAGGAAUACAUCGGAAUCUACUUUUUCGUGGGGGAUAACGUAGGGAAACUUACGCUAAUACCGCAUACGACCUACGGGUGAAAGCAGGGGAUCUUCGGACCUUGCGCGAUUGAAUGAGCCGAUGUCGGAUUAGCUAGUUGGCGGGGUAAAGGCCCACCAAGGCGACGAUCCGUAGAUGGUCUGAGAGGAUGAUCGGACACACUAGAACUGAGACACGGUCCAGACUCCUACGGGAGGCAGCAGUGGGGAAUAUUGGGCAAAGGGCGCAAGCCUGGUCCAGCCAUACCGCGUGGGUGAAGAAGGCCUUCGGGUUGUAAAGCCCUUUUGUUGGGAAAGAAAAGCAGCAGGUUAAUACCCCGCUGUUCUGACGGUACCCAAAGAAUAAGCACCGGCUAACUUCGUG
rnacentral:rRNA from 1 species